AACGAACGCUGGCGGCAGGCUUAACACAUGCAAGUCGAGCGCCCCGCAAGGGGAGCGGCAGACGGGUGAGUAACGCGUGGGAAUCUACCCAUCUCUACGGAAUAACGCAGGGAAACGUGUGCUAAGACCGUAUACGUCCUUCGGGAGAAAGAUUUAUCGGAGAUGGAUGAGCCCGCGUUGGAUUAGCUAGUUGGUGGGGUAAAGGCCUACCAAGGCGACGAUCCAUAGCGGGUCUGAGAGGAUGAUCAGACACACUGGGACUGAGACACGGCGCAGACUCUUACGGGAGGGAGCAGUGGGUAAUAUUGGCCAAUGGGCGCAAGCCUGAUGCAGCCAUGCUGCGUGAGUGAUGAAGGCCCUAGGGUUGUAAAGCUCUUUCACCGGUGAAGAUAAUGACGGUAACCGGAGAAGAAGCCCCGGCUAACUUCGUGCCAGCCGCCGCCGUAACAC
rnacentral:rRNA from 1 species